rnacentral:rRNA from 1 species
CCUACGGGGGGCAGCAGUGAGGGAUAUUGGUCAAUGGGGGAAACCCUGAACCAGCAACGCCGCGUGAGGGAAGACGGUUUUCGGAUUGUAAACCUCUGUCCUCUGUGAAGAUAAUGACGGUAGCAGAGGAGGAAGCUCCGGCUAACUACGUGCCAGCAGCCGCGGUAAUACGUAGGGAGCGAGCGUUGUCCGGAUUUACUGGGUGUAAAGGGUGCGUAGGCGGGUAAGCAAGUCAGAAGUGAAAUCCAUGGGCUUAACCCAUGAACUGCUUUUGAAACUGUUUAUCUUGAGUGAAGUAGAGGUAG